rnacentral:misc_RNA from 1 species
GGACGGGAGCACCCUCAAUCCUCGACUUCUCAUGAUCUGCGAUUGUGAGAAUUUUCCCACUCCCGCGCGCGAUUCACGAACGGCCACCACCGCCGUUUUCACUCUUCGUUCCGCGAUUCGCCGCCGCUCCUUACGGUUAAUUUAAUAUAGCAUUCCGGAUAAUCACUCCAGACUUAAUUCUGUCCUCCUCCCAGCCCCCAAUUCUCCGUUCUAGGGCUUCUGAUUUGACGAACACCACUAUGGCUAUGCAAACUGGAGUAGGGCUUUCGAAGAUCCUGAUUCUUGUUGGAGCUGGUUACUCUAGCACGAUUCUCCUUAAGAAUGGUAAAUUAUCAGAUGUGUUGGGUGAACUUCAGUCCUU